CUCCUACGGGAGGCAGCAGUGGGGAAUAUUGGACAAUGGGGGCAACCCUGAUCCAGCCAUGCCGCGUGUGUGAAGAAGGCCUUCGGGUUGUAAAGCACUUUCAGCAGUGAGGAAAGGUGGGUCGUUAAUACCGGCUUGCUGUGACGUUAACUGCAGAAGAAGCACCGGCUAACUCCGUGCCAGCAGCCGCGGUAAUACGGAGGGUGCAAGCGUUAAUCGGAAUUACUGGGCGUAAAGCGCGCGUAGGUGGUUUGGUCAGUCAGAUGUGAAAGCCCCGGGCUCAACCUGGGAACUGCACCUGAUACUGCCAAACUAGAGUACGGUAGAGGGUAGUGGAAUUUCCGGUGUAGCGGUGAAAUGCGUAGAGAUCGGAAGGAACACCAGUGGCGAAGGCGACUACCUGGACCGAUACUGACACUGAGGUGCGAAAGCGUGGGUAGCAAACAGGAUUAGAUACCCUGGUAGUCCACGCCGUAAACGAUGAGAACUAGAUGUUAGGUGGCUUGUCCACUUAGUAUUGCAGCUAACGCGUUAAGUUCUCCGCCUGGGGAGUACGGCCGCAAGGUUAAAACUCAAAGGAAUUGACGG
rnacentral:rRNA from 1 species